rnacentral:rRNA from 1 species
GAUGAACGCUGGCGGCGUGCCUAAUACAUGCAAGUCGAGCGAACAGACGAGGAGCUUGCUCCUCUGACGUUAGCGGCGGACGGGUGAGUAACACGUGGAUAACCUACCUAUCAGACUGGGAUAACUUCGGGAAACCGGAGCUAAUACCGUAUAAUAUAUUGAACCGCAUGGUUCAAUAGUGAAAGACGGUUUUGCUGUCACUUAUAGCUGGAUCCGCGCCGCAUUAGCUAGUUGGUAAGGUAACGGCUUACCACGGCGACGAUGCGUAGCCGACCUGAGAGGGGGAUCGGCCACACGAGAAGUGAAACACGCUCCAGACUCCUACGGGAGGCAGCAGUAGGGAAUCUGCCGCAAUGGGCGAAAGCCUGACGGAGCAACGCCGCGUGAGUGAUGAAGGUCUUCGGAUCGUAAAACUCUGUUAUUAGGGAAGAACAAAUGUGUAAGUAACUAUGCAGGUCGUGACGGUACCUAAUCAGAAAGCCACGGCUAACUACGUG